UACGAAGGGGGCUAGCGUUGCUCGGAAUCACUGGGCGUAAAGGGUGCGUAGGCGGGUUUUUAAGUCAGAGGUGAAAUCCUGGAGCUCAACUCCAGAACUGCCUUUGAUACUGAGGAUCUUGAGUUCGGGAGAGGUGAGUGGAACUGCGAGUGUAGAGGUGAAAUUCGUAGAUAUUCGCAAGAACACCAGUGGCGAAGGCGGCUCACUGGCCCGAUACUGACGCUGAGGCACGAAAGCGUGGGGAGCAAACAGGG
rnacentral:rRNA from 1 species